CUAUCAAUCCCACCAAAACCAUACUUGUCAUCCCCUUCAAGGUCUUCUCUAAGAUCAGCGGCAAGUUCCUUGAUCUCAUAACAGUAAUUGUACUGAUUCUGAGAAAGUAAAAAAUACUUAUCGCUGGCAAUUUUGAGGCUUGAUAGCUGCUUACUAGGAAUGUCCUCUGAAAAUGUAACAUAGUCUGGGAAUAGGCUUGUUAUGUCAGCCUGG
rnacentral:misc_RNA from 1 species